UAGGGCUAGGGUGAUCUGGCUGUGACAUCUGUCACCCCAUUGAUUGUCAGGGUUGAUUCAGCUGAUCUGGCAAGCUAGGGGUGUUCUCUUCCUUCCUGGCUGAUUGGAAGCUGUGAAACUGUGAAGCUGUGGGCUUGGUAGAAAAGGACAACCUUCUGGGAAUAGAGGAAGACCAGCUUUCGGGCAAGGGUAUACAAGCAGCUACGCUCCCCAGCUAGAGCCUCCAAACAAGCUUUCAAGAACGGGUGGGGUGGAGGGAUAACUAUUAACUUUAAAUCUUAGAUAAGCAGGUAAUCUUUAUCAUAGUGUAUUCUA
ensembl:misc_RNA 7SK 7SK RNA